AGUUCAGAAAAGAUUCCUCCAGGUGUGAAGGCUGAUGUCAGUCAGCUUCAGAGAAACAGCACCAGCUGAGCUGAGGACCUGCAAGUGUCAGGCACCUUGAUAAUGAGACACCACAGCCUGUUCUUGUCUAGUCAGUGAGACCAUCCAGUCCCUCUUGUCGUGUAAUUUGUGGUGGCUUUACAGACUUUGAUGCCAAACUGAAGGACAAACCCCAAGCUUUUGGAUGCUGUUCAGCCAGGACAAGUCCCAAAACGUGACACUUCUUCCCAUGGCAUCACCAAAUCAGGCUUCCCCCAUCACCACAGAGUCAAGACAGCCCCAGCUCACCUCUCACUCUGCUCCUGACUGAAAUUCCAGCUGGAAGAGCAGCCCUUCCCCGCCUGAGUGA